CUGGUUGAUCCUGCCAGUGACAUAUGCUUGUCUCAAGGACUAAGCCAUGCAUGUGUAAGUUCAUAUCGAUUAACGAUGAAACUGCGAAGCGCUCAGUAAAUCAGUUAUGGUCUAUUCAACGAUAGAAGUGAUGGAUAACUAUGGCAAAUCUAUAGCUAAUACAUUGUUCUGUCCUGUGGGCGAGGUGGCGUGUUCCGCAAGGUGUGCGUUGCCGAGUCGCAGGGAGCAUUUAUUAGUAAGCAAAACCGACAGCGUCGAUUGGUCGUGAUUCUUCGGGGUUGCGGGCGGUCGACGAUUUAGUUGAAGGUGAAUAACUGUGCAAAUCGUAUGGGCUUGUCCCGACGAUAGUUUGAUCGAAUUUCUGCCCUAUCAACUUGUUGGUAGGGUAGUGGCCUACCAAGGUUUUGACGGGUAACGGGGAAUCAGGGUUCGAUUCCGGAGAGGGAGCCUGAGAAACGGCUACCACUUCCAAGGAAGGCAGCAGGCGCGCAAAUUACCCAAUCCAGACAUUGGGAGGUAGUGACGAGAAAUACCGAGGCGGGAUGUAACAAUUUCGCUAUCGGAAUGAACGUAACUUAAAACCUUUGCUGAGUAACAACUGGAGGGCAAGUCUGGUGCCAGCAGCCGCGGUAAUUCCAGCUCCAGUAGUGUAUUUCAAAAUUGUUGCGGUUAAAACGCUCGUAGUCGGAUUAGAGGAACGUUACAUAGCCGGCAACUGCGCGCGGAAUCGCGAUAGCAGAACGCCGGGUGACGUUCUUUUGUGGCAAGUCCCGGCUGUGGGCUUCAAUGCUUGUGGCCGGUCGCUUGCUAAGCGUGCCUUGAAUAAAGCAGAGUGCUCAAAGCAAGCGUAACGCUAGUAUGUAAUAGCAUGGAACGAAUACAUGUUAGAGCAGGCCUGCUCAGUUGGUUGGUGGGGUCGGUUGAGCAGCGAUGCUGUUUGCUUCGGCAGACAACGCGUUGUUCGCCGGCCGCUGGCUGCGUGCUGCGGCGGAAUCAGUUUACUGGCUUCGUCGAAAGUGCAGACAGAGCUGAGCAGCCUGUCGGUUAAGAGGGACAUUUGAGGGCGUUAGUACUUGGUGGCGAGAGGUGAAAUUCUUAGACCCACCAAAGACUGACAAAUGCGAAAGCAUUCGCCAAGAGUGUUUUCAUUGAUCAAGAACGAAAGUUGGAGGCUCGAAGACGAUCAGAUACCGUCCUAGUUCCAUACAGUAAACGAUGCCAACACGCGAUCAGUCUGAAGAUAUUUGGAUUGAGGUUGGUCGCCCAGGGAAACUGAAAGUGUUCUGGUUCUGGGGAGAGUACGGUCGCAAGGUUGAAAUUUAAAGGAAUUGACGGAAAGGCACCACCAGGAGUGGAGCCUGCGGCUUAAUUUGACUCAACACGGGACAACUCACCAGGUCCGGACAUCGGUAGGAUUGACAGACUGAUAGAUCUUUCAUGAUUUGAUGAUUGGUGGUGCAUGGCCGUUCUUAGUUGGUGGAGUGAUCUGUCAGGUUUAUUCCGGUAACGAGCGAGACCACGGUGUCUAGUUAAUGGCCGGGUCACGGCAGGGUAACACCGAAGUGGACCCCCGAGUGCAGUUGCGUCGGCGGUGGCUGUUAUGCUUGUUUGGCUUUUGGCAGCAAUGUCAACAGUCGAGCAAGUGUGGCGGCUGCAGUUAGAUGUGCUGCGAUCAGGGUAAUCCAGUGUGACUCGGAUACUAGACAGACAACCGGAGAACCAAGCCGGGGGAAGCGUGGCAAUAACAGGUCUGUGAUGCCCUUCGAUGUUCUGGGCUGCACGCGCGCUACAAUGGCAGUGACAGAAAGGAGCUUAGUCGAAAGACUCGGCCAAACUGGAAUCGCUGUCGUGAUUGGGAUUGAGCUUUGUAAAUAGCUCAUGAAAGAGGAAUUCCUCGUAAGCGCGAGUCACUAACUCGUGUUGAAUACGUCUCUGCCCUUUGUACACACCGCCCGUCGCUACUACUGAUUGAAUUGGUUUUUGAAGCGCAAGGAUUGGCGGUCAUUUAAUGACCUGCCGAGAAUCGCCCUAAAAAAAUCAUUCGAGAGGAAGUAAAAGUCGUAACAAGGUUUCCGUAGGUGAACCUGCGGAAG
rnacentral:rRNA from 1 species